GGGCACUUGGCACAGUGGUAGCGCGCUUGCUUCGCAUUGGGUGAUUGCAUGAGGUCGUGAGUUCAAUCCUCACAGUGUCCA